AAUUCUAAAUAUUUCAAACUUUUUCAUUACUUUUUCAUUAUUAUCAUAUUUGUUAUGGUCAUCUGUGAUCAGUAGUCUUUGGUGUUACUACUGUGACUCGCUGAAGGCUCAGAUGAUGGUUAGCAUUUCUCAGCAAUGAGGUAUUUUUAAAUUGAGAUAUUUAAAUACAAUACAAAGGUAUACACAUUGUAUUUUGGACAUAAUGCUAUUGCAUGCUUAAUAGACUACAAUAUACUGUAAACAUAACGUUUUUAUGCACUUGGAAACCAAAAUAUUUGUGUGACUCACUUCAUUGUGAUAUUCCUUUUAUUGCAGUGGUUUGGAACUGAACCUGCAAUAUCUCCGAGGUCUGCCUGUAUAACCAUCAGUAUCUGGUUUUAAAAUGAGCAAGACAUUUGAAUAGGCAUUUCAUGGAAAACUGAAUGGCCAAUAAAUGCACAAAAAAGUAAAAAAAAAAAAUAGCCCACAUUGCCUUUACCAGAUUGUUAAUAGAAAUAUGACAUUAAAGGUCAUUCUCAUGAGGUCUCAGAUAGGUACAAGGAACAUGUUACUGGAAACUGUAGGAAAGGUGAUACUUGUCACAAAGUGGUAAAGACAUUUUGGUGAGGAUGUGGAGAAACUGGAACACUUGGGCACUGUUGGUGUGAAUUUAAAAUGGUGCAGCUGCUAUGAAAAAGAGUAUGGCUGUUCUCAAAAAAUUAAAAAUAUAUUUACCAUAAGAUCCAACAAUUCCAAUUCUAGAUAUCUACCCAGUAGAGUUGAAAGCAGGGUCUCAAAGAUAUAUUUGCACACCCAUGUUCAUUGCAGCACUAUUCACAAUAGCCAAAAGGUGGA